AGAGUUUGAUCAUGGCUCAGGAUGAACGCUAGCGGCAGGCCUAAUACAUGCAAGUCGUACGGGAUUGUUUCUUAGCUUGCUAAGGGACAUGAGAGUGGCGCACGGGUGCGUAACGCGUGAGCAACCUGCCCAUGUCAGGGGGAUAGCCCGUUGAAAGACGGAUUAACACCGCAUGAAGAUAUUUUCCGGCAUCGGGAGGUAUCCAAAUAUUUAUAGGACAUGGAUGGGCUCGCGUGGCAUUAGCUUGUUGGUGCGGUAACGGCGCACCAAGGCGAUGAUGCCUAGGGGCUCUGAGAGGAGAAUCCCCCACACUGGUACUGAGACACGGACCAGACUCCUACGGGGGGCAGCAGUAGGGAAUAUUGGUCAAUGGGCGGAAGCCUGAACCAGCCAUGCCGCGUGCGGGACGAAGGCCCUACGGGUCGUAAACCGCUUUUAUACGGGAACAACCGCAGCUACGAGUAGCUGCCUGAGUGUACCGUAGGAAUAAGGAUCGGCUAACUCCGUGCCAGCCGCCGCGGUAAUAC
rnacentral:rRNA from 1 species